rnacentral:rRNA from 1 species
AUUGAACGCUGGCGGCAUGCCUUACACAUGCAAGUCGAACGGCAGCACGGGUGCUUGCCCCUGGUGGCGAGUGGCGCACGGGUGAGUAUUACAUCGGGACAUGUCCUGUAGUGGGGGAUAGCCCGGCGAAAGCCGGAUUAAUACCGCAUACGAUUUACGGAUGAAAGCGGGGGCACUUCGGGCCUCGCGCUAUGGGGUUGGCUGUUGGCUGAUUAGCUAGUUGGUGGGGUAAAGGCCUACCAAGGCGACGAUCAGUAGCUGAUCUGAGAGGACGACCAGCCACACUGGGACUGAGACACGGCCCAGACUCCUACGGGAGGCAGCAGUGGGGAAUUUUGGACAAUGGGCGAAAGCCUGAUCCAGCAAUGCCGCGUGUGUGAAGAAGGCCUUCGGGUCGUAAAGCACUUUUGUCCGGAAAGAAAACCUUUGCCCUAAAACGGUCGGGGGAUGACGGUACCGGAAGAAUAAGCACCGGCUAACUACGUG